rnacentral:rRNA from 1 species
GGAUCGUAAAAUCUGUUGUUAGGGAAGAACAAGUACCGUUCGAAUAGGGCGGACCUUGACGGUACCUAACCAGAAAGCCACGGCUAACUACGUGCCAGCAGCCGCGGUAAUACGUAGGUGGCAAGCGUUGUCCGGAAUUAUUGGGCGUAAAGCGCGCGCAGGCGGUUUCUUAAGUCUGAUGUGAAAGCCCCCGGCUCAACCGGGGAGGGUCAUUGGAAACUGGGGAACUUGAGUGCAGAAGAGGAGAGUGGAAUUCCACGUGUAGCGGUGAAAUGCGUAGAGAUGUGGAGGAACACCAGUGGCGAAGGCGACUCUCUGGUCUGUAACUGACGCUGAGGCGCGAAAGCGUGGGGAGCGAACAGGAUUAGAUACCCUGGUAGUCCACGCCGUAAACGAUGAGUGCUAAGUGUUAGAGGGUUUCCGCCCUUUAGUGCUGCAGCAAACGCAUUAAGCACUCCGCCU